GACGAACGCUGGCGGCGUGCUUAACACAUGCAAGUCGAACGGAAAGGCCCUGCUUUUGUGGGGUGCUCGAGUGGCGAACGGGUGAGUAACACGUGAGUAACCUGCCCUUGACUUUGGGAUAACUUCAGGAAACUGGGGCUAAUACCGGAUAGGAGCUCCUGCUGCAUGGUGGGGGUUGGAAAGUUUCGGCGGUUGGGGAUGGACUCGCGGCUUAUCAGCUUGUUGGUGGGGUAGUGGCUUACCAAGGCUUUGACGGGUAGCCGGCCUGAGAGGGUGACCGGCCACAUUGGGACUGAGAUACGGCCCAGACUCCUACGGGACGCAGCAGUGGGGAAUAUUGCACAAUGGGAGGAAGUCUGAUGCAGCAACGCCGCGUGCGGGAUGACGGCAUUCGGGUUGUAAACCGCUUUCGCCUGUGACGAAGCGUGAGUGACGGUAAUGGGUAAAGAAGCACCGGCUAACUACGUG
rnacentral:rRNA from 1 species